rnacentral:sRNA from 1 species
UUGAUCACAGGUGUACUGUCGACCGCACGACGGGUUCGGGAAGUGACAGAUCCAAAGAGCCGGAACAGAGGAGAAGA